UGGCGGACGGGUGAGUAAUGUCUGGGAAACUGCCCGAUGGAGGGGGGUAACUACUGGAAACGGUAGCUAAUACCGCAUAACGUCGCAAGACCAAAGAGGGGGACCUUCGGGCCUCUUGCCAUCGGAUGUGCCCAGAUGGGAUUAGCUAGUAGGUAAGGUAACGGCUUACCUAGGCGACGAUCCCUAGCUGGUCUGAGAGGAUGAUCAGCCACACUGGGACUGAGACACGGCCCAG
rnacentral:rRNA from 1 species